rnacentral:tRNA from 1 species
UUUUCAGUGGCUCAGAGGUUAAAGCAUCUGCCUGCAAUGCAGGAGACCCGAGUUCAAUCCCUGGGUGAGGAA